UCUCAUUAUGAUACUAUUCAUAAUGAUCUUAAUAUGUUUGUUAUAAUAUUGUUUACUUUUAAUUAUUAUCAACACUGUGCAGUUUUUGAGCAGUGAUCCUCAGAAAACCCAUUAGUCACUUUCUGGGUCCCGCAUAAUAGAGCUCUUAUAAACGUCGUAAAUCUUAUCUCUAAAGAAUGUUGUGGUUACCUCCAGAGGGUGGGAGAGUGAAGGCUACCGCCCAUCUGGAUGAGGAAGGGUAAAAUCCACUCAUUCCAUCUCAUACCACCUUUGAGACAACACCCAUGCUAUAGAGAAGAGAACUUGUACGAUAUUUGACUUUCCAUGACAAAUUCCAUCCAAUAGGGGGUUUAUCCUUUCUCGGGUUUAUUUUCGAGAAUAAAG